rnacentral:ncRNA from 16 species
AACGGGAGCUCGGAGCACCGGGCUGAGAGGGCGCUGACGGCACGCGGCACGCGUGCCACCCGCUGCGCCGACCGCAGGAACCUGACCGGGUAAUGCCGGCGUAGGGAGU